UCCUGGAAUGCAGCUCAUAUUAGAGAAGGCAUGGGGGUCCUGCCCCAGGGUGGGAAGGUCCCGGGAGGCCCCUGCCUCGGCCCCGUGGCUGUGGGAGGCUAUCCCUGGCCCACGGCCCGCCAGCCUCCAGGCGCCAGUAGUCACGGGGUCAGCUUUCCCCGUGUCCUUGGCUGGGCUCAGGGGCCCUGCCUGGUACCGUGUACUUUCACGAGAACCUGCCUCGCUGAAAACCUGGCUUUCAAAACCUCUCCAAAAGAGAAAAGCAUUCAAGAUUUCUAAUUUGCCUUUGGUCUUCCCAACUGGCUCUAGAGCGCUCAUCAGCGUCAUGAGUGCCAGGCAGUGCCAAGCACCAGGGAAGCCAGGACACAGAGAUCCAUCCUCGCCCUCGCAAGGGUCUUCACUGCUGCUUCAGCUUUGCCCUAGCUGCAGCGAGUGGGCCUCUCACGGUGGCGGCCUCUCUGGUUGCGACUCCUGGGCUCUAGGCAGGCCGGCUCCGUGGCCGUGGACCGCGGGGUCAGCUGCCCCGU